GGGGUCCCUUUUUAUAGAUGGAGAAUGUAACUGAUUGACAGCGACGUCUGUAACUGUCUGGUAGUGGGCUGUUCGGGGCCACGCAGAGUUUGUUACGGAGAGUAGUGGCGUCAGGGGGUCGUUCAGGGCCACAUGGAGUUUGUUAUGGAGAGUGGAGUGGUGUCCAUUGUCACGACUUGCCAGAGAGUGGUGGGGCCAUGUGGGAUCUAUUACAGAGAGUGGAGUAGGGUAGUGGCCACUAUCGCGACUUGCCAGAGAGUUCGGGCCUGACGGCUGAAGCUCGGCUGGGACAUCUGAUGGAGCGGUAUGGCUCUCUGUCUCUGCAAU
rnacentral:lncRNA from 1 species